rnacentral:rRNA from 1 species
UACGUAGGGUGCGAGCGUUAAUCGGAAUUACUGGGCGUAAAGCGUGCGCAGGCGGUUCGCCAAGUCAGGUGUGAAAUCCCCGGGCUUAGCCUGGGAAUUGCGCUUGAAACUAGCGGGCUUGAGUGUGGCAGAGGGGGGUGGAAUUCCACGUGUAGCAGUGAAAUGCGUAGAGAUGUGGAGGAACACCGAUGGCGAAGGCAGCCCCCCUGGGUCAACACUGACGCCUCAUGCACGAAAGCGUGGGGAGCAAACAGG